UGUAGUUACUCAGUAGCCUAAUGUGCAGACAAAAAGAAUGACAACAUCUUACUCAGACUAUUUAAUGUCAUAUAAGAAAUCCAAUGUAUAAUAUAUAAAUGAAGCAGGUUAUCAAACAACAUGUGAAAUUGUGGUAGAUGCUGUGUGUGUCACAGCCAUGUACCUUCACCCUCACUAUUUCAGUCUAUGCUUGCUCGACUUCUAAUUGCUGGAUUCUACUUCUGUUUGCCUGAGUUUUCUUUGUCCAGGUGCUUAGCAGGCCAGAAUGCUAAAGAAUAAGGCUCCUGGAUGCGUACUUGCCCAAUAAUUGAUGGAGUUCAUGUACAAAUAGCCCAGGUCACACACUCUUUUGCUGAAGUGCUCCAUACUGACUCCCAGAGUUCCUCAUUGGGAUCAGAUCCAAGAAUCCACAGUGAUGACUUCCCAGCUGGAAUGGAGAUUUCAUGGGCCAUGUGCAUGAAUGAUCUCACUGAUGGCAGAGCAACAAAAUCAAGGACCUGUGGCCAUCAGUGAGAUGGCUCAGUAGCAAGUUCAGCUUAUGUCUGAAUUUUGGAAAGCGUUCUCUGACUCUUUGAAUCUGUGCUGGCUGAUAACUCCAAGAAGCAGCUCUGGUCAUUUGAAUCAGGCCUGCCUAGACUCUGAAGCUUUUGGAGUGAGGAGAUAACAGGAGGAUGCUGGUAAGAUGGCUGGAAGACCAAUGUAAUACCAGGGUAGAGAUUUUCAACCAAACGAGUCAUUGGGGA